CCAGCCAGCGGUUCAGAUCCGCCUUCAUUCUGACUGCCCUGGAGGCAAAGCCAGCCAAUGCCCUUCUCCUGCUUUCCCGGGUCACCACCUGGGCUCUCCUGAAGGGAUUCUGCUGAUAAUCAAGGUGAAUGAGCAAACAGCACAGAAAAAGAAACAGCAGUAUAUGUGGAAGAAAGCAAGAAAAAUCAACUGGCCUGGAACCUAAGACUUGUCCAAAGAUGUCACAGAGAGUAAAAUGAGAAAAAUCCAGUAGCCCGUGCCCAGAGCAGUUCCUCGUACCCAGCAGAAGGCUAACAAGCCCUGAGAUGAAUGAUGCUCUUCCCAAGGAAGGCAGAGGAGGCGACAGUCCAUUUGCGUUCUCUCCUCUGCAAGUACAGGAUCUCGUUUGAUUCUCAAAACCACCCUAGAGGAGACAGGAGGCACCUGAGGCCCAGAGACGUGAAGCCACCUGUCCAAGGCCAUACAGCAGAUAACUUAUUCUGGAGGAAGACACCUGCCAUGCCGUGAGGACAGUCAAGCAGUUCUGUGGAGAGAUCCAUGUGGUGAGAAACAGGGGCCUCCUGUCAACAGGAAGAACAACCUGGCAGGCCUGUCUUGGAUUCAGAGCCUCCAGCCCCAGUCGAGCCUUCAGAUAACUGCACCCUUGGCUGUCAUCUCAACUGCAAUCUCACGACAGACCCUGAGCUGGAACUACUCUGUUUACCAAUGCCUGGCCCACAGAAAGACUAUGAGAUAAAACAAGUAUAUUGUUUUUAGAA
rnacentral:lncRNA from 1 species